rnacentral:rRNA from 1 species
AACGAACGCUGGCGGCAUGCCUAACACAUGCAAGCCGAACGAGACCUUCGGGUCUAGUGGCGCACGGGUGCGUAACGCGUGGGAACCUGCCCUUAGGUUCGGAAUAACUCCCCGAAAGGGGUGUUAAUACCGGAUAAUGUCUUCGGACCAAAGAUUUAUCGCCUUUGGAUGGGCCCGCGUUGGAUUAGCUAGUUGGUAGGGUAAAAGCCUACCAAGGCGACGAUCCAUAGCUGGUCUGAGAGGAUGAUCAGCCACACUGGGACUGAGACACGGCCCAGACUCCUACGGGAGGCAGCAGUGGGGAAUAUUGGACAAUGGGCGAAAGCCUGAUCCAGCAAUGCCGCGUGAGUGAUGAAGGCCUUAGGGUUGUAAAGCUCUUUUACCCGGGAUGAUAAUGACAGUACCGGGAGAAUAAGCUCCGGCUAACUCCGUG